UUGCUUACCUCCCCUCACAAAGGGCGUUCCCGCACCUGGAAACUGACUUGAAUGUGAUUGGCGGAGGCGUCCUCCUGCAGCUGUGAUUGGCGGAGGCGCGUCCUGCACCUGUGACCGCUGGUUGUGAGACAGACGAGGCGCAGACACACGAGGCGAGAUCGCCGAGAGGAUUUAUGUGACAGCUACGUUUUAGUGCGAUUUAAUUGGCGGGAUACCUCCUCCUCCUCCCAUAAUCCCGGACAGAUGGAGGGAGUGCUGAUUUUAAAAACUGCCCCUCUUCCUAACUGUUCCUCGCAAGACUCUUCUGCUCCUCCAUCACCGGGUGCUCGGGACGAUCCGGAUUUGGAGUCGUCUUCUCCCGUGCCUCCCCAAAUGUGUGCCAUUGCUGUACCACCACCUCCGCCACCUCCUCCUCCUCCUCCUCCACCUCCACCACCCCCCCCUACUUUCGGCCCUCGCGACGUCCGCCGGCGCUCCAUGAAGAAGCUCAACUGGGACACCAUCCCCAGCCAGCGCGUCCUGGGCAAACUGAAUGUGUGGACGUCCAAGCGGCCUCAGAGGGAUCUCGUGCUGGACAUCCCCAGCAUGGAGGAGUUGUUCAGUCACGUGGACAAAAGAGCCUCGCUGCCCAACUCGAAGGACGUGGGCCUGAAGGCCCACGAAGGCAUGCACCUCUUUCUGCAGGAGCCUCAGCUGAAGAGCAAGGUCACGAUCCUUGACUCUAAAAAGAGCAUGAAUAUUGGGAUCUUCCUGAGACAUUUCAAGAGGCCAGUGACCGAAAUGGUGCAGGAUAUUUGUAAAGGGAACUGGCUGAGAUUUGGGACGGGGAAACUAAAAGAGCUUUGUAAACUACUGCCAGAAGAAACUGAGGUGAAGCUCCUGCGGUCGUUCAAUGGGAGCCUCUCGGUGUUACCUGAGGCCGACCAGUUCAUGGUGCUGCUGGUCAAAGUGCCCGGCUAUGAGGAACGCCUGAAAACAAUGAUGCUGAGGGAAGAAUUCUUUCCUCUUAUGGAGGAAGUGAAGAACUCCGUUGCUGUCAUGACCAAAGCAGCUAAUGAGCUCUUGGACUGUGAUGACCUCCACUCGGUCAUUCGCCUGGUGUUGAAGGCGGGGAAUUACAUGAACGCUGGUGGUUACAGUGCCACGGCCAACGCCAUUGGCUUCAGGAUGACGUCUCUGCUCAAGCUGGCAGACACCAAGGCCAACAAGCCUGGCAUGAACCUCAUGCACUACGUUGCCAAGCAAGCGGAGGAAAUGGAUGCCGAGUUGCUGAUGUUUCCCAGCCAGCUUGAAAACAUUGGGUUGGGAGCGAGAAUUUGCAAAGAGGAGGUCAUCGCAGACUACGAGAGGGAAGUGAAGAAAGUCAAGGAAGUGAAGUUGUACAGCAGCAAACAGCCCGACCUCUUACAGCAAAUGGAGACAUUUCUGUUGAGGGCUGAGGCCAAGCUGGUUGAUCUGGAGAUCUCUCUUCGGGAGCUGAAGUCUGUGAGCAAUGCCGUGGCUGAAUACUUCUGUGAAGACUCCGCUACCUUCAAACUGGAGGAGUGCUGCUCCAUCUUCCAUUCGUUUUGCAAGCGGUUUGAAACGGCCGUGCAGGAGAACCGAGGGCGGGAGGCAGCGGAGCAGAGGCGCAAGCAGAAGGAGAGCGUGCGGAUUGCAGGCAAACGCCGCUCGGCGGCGGCCGCGCCUUCGACUGCACCCGAGCGCCAUCUGGAGUCGGCCCUACACAGCCUCCUCUCCGCCGCUCCCCAAGGAUUGGCGCGAUGCAGGAAGAACGUUCCUCCCACCGUCGACGGUUCCCUCUCGGUGUGCAGCUCUCGGGUGGUUCCGCCGGUGGUGGAAACAGAGACCACGCCAGGCGCUAAACAAGAGAAACUCAGGAACCAAACACCCAAAUUGCAGAAGGAGGACGGGAACGUGGCAGAAGCAGAAGACAAAGAAGGGGCUCAAAGGACCCGCGAGAUAACUCGGAAGGUGCCGAGAUAUCGCAGCGGCAAAAGCAGCGGCGGCGGUGACGGGGACGCCGCGUCGGGCACUCCCCGUCAGCGGCGGAGAGCGCGAGACACACCGGCUACCCCGAGUACUCCUCGGCCUAGAUCCAGAGACUACUUCUUCUCUGAAGCCGAGGGUUUGGGCUCCCCGUGGACCAUCCUGAGUCCCUUCACUUGCCCCAAAAGAACCGCCUGCCGCCAACGUAGACUAUCCUCGGCUGCGGGCGGAGAUGACCUCGAAGACGGAGUCUGGGAGAGUGACGAAUGCAAUUAUCUCCCCAACUCCUCCAAUCAGGAAUAUCUAACAUCUCCCUCUGGGAGUUCUGCGUCUACUCCCGAGCGAACCAAUCCGGGCGCUGUGUCAAACGGUCCGAUCUUCAGGCCCGUUUCCAUGGAUGAAAACGGGCGAUCUCCAGGAUCCGGGUUCCGGCUGGGAGACUUGUUCCAGAGAAGCGUGUCUCAAAGGUCGUCACACUGCUCUGGAUCAAGGACAGAAAACAUGAGAGGAGGAGGAGGAGGAGGAGAAGGAGAAGAAGAAGCAGCAGGAGGAGUCAGUAGUCCAUUGCUCGGUAGGCAGGGAGGGAGUCAUGUAGAGGGACAAGGAAGCACCUCUGGGUUCAUAUCCUUCUUUAGACACAUUGGGAGCAGAAGUAAGCACGUUGAUGCAGAAGAACGCUUCAAAGGAUCUAAUACUUGAUUAACAUUUUUAGUUAGAGACAAAAGUCCAAUGUUUGCCUUUUUUGUGUGUGUUUUAGAUAAAUUGAGUUAAAAUGUGAUAUGUGAUUUUUAAUUGUUGAGGAUUUACCCUUCAGUGGACCCAAGGCAAACGACGACUUGCUUUGAACAGUGACGGUUUUGAAUUUGUGUGAGCCAAAGCACUUUGAAAAAUCCUUUCUUUUGUCUUUUUGUACGCAAUAAAGGGUGUCAUUCUACCUUUUCUUAGGUUAACAUUUCUCCUCUUCCACCCUUUUUCAUUAAAUCACCGAAGGGCUCACCUGUGCUAACGUCUCCUCAGCGAGGCCGGCUCACUCUCCAGUAGUUGCCUCCCGCUUUUGUCUGUUGUCUCUUAUCUGUCAGCCUGACCAUCGGGCAGUUAUUGAGACGUGAGCCAUAUAACCUCGAUCACUCGUAGGAUAUGAACCGGCAGACAACCCUAGCUAAGCAGCACUGUGCCCCCACCCCGGGCUGCACAAAAAGACAUUCAGCUGUGUUACUUGGGUAACCGGGUUUGUUUACAGCCAUUUCAUUUGAGCUCUUGGUGUAAUAAUACUCUCUAGGACAAGCUGCUCCUUUUCUGGCAAGGACCCGCUGGGGACAUUCGCUAUCGCCUGGGUUUGCAAAUCAGGGGAUGUUGAAUAGAAUAGAAACAAGGAAUGUGUUGUUGGUCAAACAAAAGCUCAAAGCAAGGCCUCAUACACAAGCAGAGAUAAAGGUCCGGUAGUUGGAGCUGAGCGCUGCGUCAGCAGCGGCUGAGCGGUUUGGCGUAAAACGAGAGGGCCAAAGGACAAUCGGCCCUUUGUGGUAAAAUGUUGAGUGCAUCCCAGAAACCGUCUCAUGUGAGUCAACCUCGAGGUGACCUGAAUCUGUGUGUCGCGGUGAAAAGAUGAGAAACAGGCGUGAAUACGUAAGCGAAAGGAGGUGACCGGGGAGGAACUUGGACCAAGUUAGAGAGAGGGAGGAGACCAGUUGAAUGACGACGAAGCAUUUAAGCCGAAAACGCCGCGUCUUAAAGAGCAAAACAUAAGCUCACAAGGACUUACGGAUGAAAGGAAAAACUUGUCUGCUGCCGACCCUGGAUGUUUUUUUUCACUGUGGGAACCGGCACCUGGACCGAAAAUUCCUUGCAGAACGCACAUUGUUUUCCCGAGUGUAUAAUGACGGCUCGACUAUGAGAAGCGUUCAGAUCUGUCUGUUGGUCUCAGCUGUUUUCUGAAGAGGAACA